rfam:Myotis lucifugus cont2.61690, whole genome shotgun sequence.
CUAACACGUGCGCGAGUCCGGGGCUCGUACGAAAGCUGCCGUGGAGCAAUGAAGGUGAAGGCCCGUCAGGGCCGAGGUGGGAUCCCGAGGCCUCUCCAGUACGCCGAGGGCGCACCACCCGCCCUUCUCGCGCGCCUUGCUGGGGAGGUGGAGCAUGAGCACAUGUGUUAGGACCCAAAAGAUGGUAAACUAUGCCUGGGCAGGGCGAAGCCACAGGAAACUCUGGUGGUGGUCCCUAGCGGUUCUGAUGUGCAAAUCCGUCAUCUGACCUGGGUAUAGGGGUGAAAGACUAAUCGAACCAUCUAGUAGCUGG